rnacentral:rRNA from 1 species
AACACGGAUUAGAUACCCUGGUAGUCCACGCCGUAAACGUUGGGCGCUAGAUGUAGGGACCUUUCCACGGUUUCUGUGUCGUAGCUAACGCAUUAAGCGCCCCGCCUGGGGAGUACGGCCGCAAGGCUAAAACUCAAAGGAAUUGACGGGGGCCCGCACAAGCGGCGGAGCAUGCGGAUUAAUUCGAUGCAACGCGAAGAACCUUACCAAGGCUUGACAUACACCGGAAACGGCCAGAGAUGGUCGCCCCCUUGUGGUCGGUGUACAGGUGGUGCAUGGUUGUCGUCAGCUCGUGUCGUGAGAUGUUGGGUUAAGUCCCGCAACGAGCGCAACCCUCGUUCUAUGUUGCCAGCACGUAAUGGUGGGAACUCAUGGGAUACUGCCGGGGUCAACUCGGAGGAAGGUGGGGGUGACGUCAAAUCAUCAUGCCCCUUAUGUCUUGGGCUUCACGCAUGCUACAAUGGCCGGUACGAAGGGCUGCGAUACCGUAAGGUGGAGCGAAUCCCAAAAAGCCGGUCUCAGUUCGGAUUGAGGUCUGCAACUCGACCUCAUGAAGUCGGAGUCGCUAGUAAUCGCAGAUCAGCAACGCUGCGGUGAAUACGUUCCCGGGCCUUGUACACACCGCCCGUCAAGUCAUGAAAGUCGGUAACACCCGAAGCCGGUGGCCUAACCCUUGUGGAGGGAGCCGUCGAAGGUGGGAUCGGUAAUUAGGACUAAGUCGUAACAAGGUAGCCGUAGA